rnacentral:rRNA from 1 species
UACGUGGGGGGCAAGCGUUAUCCGGAUUUACUGGGUGUAAAGGGAGCGUAGACGGCUUUGCAAGCCAGAUGUGAAAGCCCGGGGCUCAACCUCGGGACUGCAUUUGGAACUGUAUGGCUGGAGUGUCGGAGAGGCAGGCGGAAUUCCUAGUGUAGCGGUGAAAUGCGUAGAUAUUAGGAGGAACACCAGUGGCGAAGGCGGCCUGCUGGACGAUGACUGACGUUGAGGCUCGAAAGCGUGGGGAGCAAACAGG